UAAGGAAUAUUGGUCAAUGGACGCAAGUCUGAACCAGCCAUGCCGCGUGAAGGAUGAAGGUCCUCUGGAUUGUAAACUUCUUUUAUCUGGGACGAAAACGGGAUUUUUAUCUCAAUUGACGGUACCAGAGGAAUAAGCACCGGCUAACUCCGUGCCAGCAGCCGCGGUAAUACGGAGGGUGCGAGCGUUAUCCGGAUUUACUGGGUUUAAAGGGUGCGUAGGUGGGCUUAUAAGUCAGUGGUGAAAUCUCCGAGCUUAACUUGGAAACUGCCGUUGAUACUAUAGGUCUUGAAUUAUCUGGAUGUAAGCGGAAUAUGUCAUGUAGCGGUGAAAUGCUUAGAUAUGACAUAGAACACCAAUUGCGAAGGCAGCUUACUACAUAUAAAUUGACGCUG
rnacentral:rRNA from 1 species